CUCUCCACUGCUGUGCUGCUGUCAUGCCUGCACAAUCACUUUUGGAUACUCAAGGUUAGUGGAAUUUUCCACCGCAAAAACACAUUCUGCUGCAAAAAUGCAACUUUUUCUCACGGUCUCAUGGCAACACGGCACGCCAGAAAUAAUUGAAUCAGACAGUGGGACUCAUUUCCACAAUGACCUCAUAAACAUCUGGGCCAAACAGCAUGGCAUUGAAUGGGUAUACCACAUCCCUUCUCCUGCACCAGCAUCCAGGAAAACAAACAAACAAACAAAAAAAAAACCACACACACGCAGACUGAUAAAGAAUAUGCUGAAAGCAAUGGGUGCUGAGACAUUCAAACGUUGGGAUGCUGUACUGUCUCUGGCUGGGAUGGAGUUAACUUUCCCUGCGGCAGCCCACACAGUGCUGUGCUCUGCAGGCGUAGCUAGAACGGCACUGGUGUCACACCGGUGUUGUGUCUACUGCUGAGCAAUCAAUGCUUGGCACAGCACCAGGACUCCCUCAACCCCCCUCCCCCCCCCAGAGCCAGCAGGCUGGGGGUGGGCAAGAGGGGAGGAAGAAACAUCAGCAGGGCAGCUGACGUGAAGCAACCGAAGGGAUGUUCCGUACCAUAUGAUGUCACACUCAGCAAUAAAAGGUGGAAAAAGGAAGAAGAGCGGAGGGGUGGGCUCUCGCUGUGAAAACGUCUGUCCUCCCAAACAAUGGGUGGGUACGUGCGUUGAGGCCCUGCUUCAAGGACGUGGUCAAGCAUCGCCCAUUGGUGGGAAGUGGAGAGUAAUUUCUUUUCCUCUGCACUUCCACACA